rnacentral:sRNA from 1 species
CUCGUUGGUAUUUAUAAGACCACAUUUUUUUCUCCCUAGGAGAUGCCUCAUAAAUUUGUGAUAGCCGUGCUGAUGGAAUACAUUCGUUCUCUUAACCAGUUUCAGAUUGCAGUACAGCAUUACCUACAUGAACUUGUUAUCAAAACACUUGUCCAGCACAACCUCUUUUAUAUGCUGCAUCAGUUCCUGCAGUACCACGUCCUCAGCGACUCCAAACCUUUGGCUUGUCUGCUGUUAUCCCUAGAGAGCUUCUAUCCUCCUGCUCAUCAGCUAUCUCUGGACAUGCUGAAGCGACUUUCAACAGCAAACGAUGAAAUAGUAGAAGUUCUCCUUUCCAAACACCAAGUGUUAGCUGCCUUAAGGUUUAUCCGGGGCAUUGGUGGCCAUGACAACAUUUCUGCACGAAAAUUUUUAGAUGCUGCAAAGCAGACUGAAGACAACAUGCUUUUCUAUACAAUAUUCCGGUUUUUUGAACAGCGAAACCAGCGUUUGCGAGGGAGCCCCAAUUUCACACCAGGGGAACACUGUGAAGAACAUGUUGCUUUUUUCAAACAGAUUUUUGGAGACCAAGCUGUAAUGAGGCCUACAACAUUCUGAAAUCACUUGCUGUUUUUUUUAUAUAAAAAUGUGUACAAAGUUAAUUUAUUGCAUUAAUAAAGCUCUUUAAACUAUAAAA